AUUGAACGCUGGCGGCAUGCUUUACACAUGCAAGUCGAACGGCAGCACGGGAGCAAUCCUGGUGGCGAGUGGCGAACGGGUGAGUAAUACAUCGGAACGUGCCCAAUCGUGGGGGGAUAACGCAGCGAAAGCUGUGCUAAUACCGCAUACGAUCUACGGAUGAAAGCAGGGGAUCGCAAGACCUUGCGCGAAUGGAGCGGCCGAUGGCAGAUUAGGUAGUUGGUGAGGUAAAGGCCCACCAAGCCGUCGAUCUGUAGCUGGUCUGAGAGGACGACCAGCCACACUGGGACUGAGACACGGCCCAGACUCCUACGGGAGGCAGCAGUGGGGAAUUUUGGACAAUGGGCGAAAGCCUGAUCCAGCCAUGCCGCGUGCAGGAUGAAGGCCUUCGGGUUGUAAACUGCUUUUGUACGGAACGAAACGGCCUUUUCUAAUAAAGAGGGCUAAUGACGGUACCGUAAGAAUAAGCACCGGCUAACUACGUGCCAGCAGCCGCGGUAAUACGUAGGGUGCAAGCGUUAAUCGGAAUUACUGGGCGUAAAGCGUGCGCAGGCGGUUAUGUAAGACAGUUGUGAAAUCCCCGGGCUCAACCUGGGAACUGCAUCUGUGACUGCAUAGCUAGAGUACGGUAGAGGGGGAUGGAAUUCCGCGUGUAGCAGUGAAAUGCGUAGAUAUGCGGAGGAACACCGAUGGCGAAGGCAAUCCCCUGGACCUGUACUGACGCUCAUGCACGAAAGCGUGGGGAGCAAACAGG
rnacentral:rRNA from 1 species